rnacentral:lncRNA from 1 species
CAAUGAGCCUAGAGAAGAAUGAUGUCAACUCUCUCAUGGCUAUGUCACGUCCAUUGUCCGGAGAGGACAUAAUUCCAGUAGCUGAAUCCCUGACGUUACACCCACAGCAGAGGUUGGUUAAGAAAGUGCUUAGAAAAAGGGUAAAUAUAUUUGUUUUCUUGUACACUGUCUAUCAUCUUGCCAAAACAUAUUUUGAUAUCCAACUACUUAGAAAUGAUGUCAUUUGCGUUUUUUUCACCUCCCUACAACAGGACCACCAGGAGGCAGUAGGGGCCAUCUGCCAGGUCUUGAUUACCAGGGUGCAAGACAUCCUCCAUGAGACCUGCUAUAACCCUAAAAAUGCCAGGGACAUCAUCCAGAAAGGAUUGGAUUCUGGGGCUAGGGCCAUAGUUCCGGAGGUCACCAAUGAGGAGGGCUGUGUAGGGAGUCCCACUCUGGUGGUGGACCAACCAUCAUGUCAGUUGGAGAGGAUCUUCAGCCACUCCCUACUAGCUGGGCCCUCCAACUCAGCCAAGGCAGCAUUGGGAGCCCCUGCAUAUAAGGUGGAGGAGACUGAGACCCGUUUGAACACCCAGGCGCUCCAGCGCACUCCCUCCCCAGACCCUGGACUCAGUGAACUGAAAUUUUCAGUUGUGGUUCCAGAUGUGGUGUGUGAGAGGCAGCUGCCCACAAAGAACAACCCCUUGCAGGGCUUUGUGCCAAAGCCUCCAUGUGGCCCCAGACCGAGCUGCAAGGCAAAGGCAGGGAGGGAGUUGAGGGGAACAGCUGAGGCAACCAAGGUUAGAGGGCAGAGGACU